rnacentral:rRNA from 1 species
GACUACUGGGGUAUCUAAGCCUGUUUGCUCCCCACGCUUUCGUGCAUGAGCGUCAGUACAGGCCCAGGGGGUUGCCUUCGCCAUCGGUGUUCCUCCGCAUCUCUACGCAUUUCACUGCUACACGCGGAAUUCCACCCCCCUCUGCCGUACUCUAGCCUUGCAGUCACAAACGCAGUUCCCAGGUUAAGCCCGGGGAUUUCACAUCUGUCUUACAAAACCGCCUGCGCACGCUUUACGCCCAGUAAUUCCGAUUAACGCUCGCACCCUACGUAUUACCGCGGCUGCUGGCACGUAGUUAGCCGGUGCUUCUUGGUCCGGUACCGUCAUCCACACGCUAUGUUAGAGCGUGCGUUUUCUUCCCGGCUGAAAGAGCUUUACAACCCGAAGGCCUUCUUCACUCACGCGGCAUGGCUGGAUCAGGGUUGCCCCCAUUGUCCAAAAUUCCCCACUGCAGCCCCCCGUAGG